GACGAACGCUGGCGGCGUGCUUAACACAUGCAAGUCGAACGAUGAAGCUAGAGCUUGCUCUGGUGGAUUAGUGGCGAACGGGUGAGUAACACGUGAGUAACCUGCCCCGAACUCUGGGAUAACUGCUGGAAACGGUAGCUAAUACCGGAUAUGACCAAUGAAGGCAUCUUCUGUUGGUGGAAAGAAUUUCGGUUCGGGAUGGACUCGCGGCCUAUCAGCUUGUUGGUGAGGUAACGGCUCACCAAGGCGACGACGGGUAGCCGGCCUGAGAGGGUGAUCGGCCACACUGGGACUGAGACACGGCCCAGACUCCUACGGGAGGCAGCAGUGGGGAAUAUUGCGCAAUGGGCGAAAGCCUGACGCAGCAACGCCGCGUGCGGGAUGAAGGCCUUCGGGUUGUAAACCGCUUUCAGCAGGGAAGAAGCCGCAAGGUGACGGUACCUGCAGAAGAAGCACCGGCUAACUACGUGCCAGCCGCCGCAGUAA
rnacentral:rRNA from 1 species